GUGAAAUUGUUGAAAGGGAAACGAUUGAAGUCAGUCAUGCUAGUGAAGAUUCAGUUUGGCGGAUUUCGAAUUUAAGAGUAGAGGCAGGGUCAAACCGCCUCUACUUUUAAAUUCGGGAUCCGCCGGAUGCACUUUUUCUUUGGCAGGUCAGCGUCGAUUUCGGAGGUUGUAAAAUACUUGGGGGAAAGUAGCUCUGCUUCGGGAGAGUGUUAUAGACCCCGGGGGAUGCGGCCUGCGGGACCGAGGAUUGCAGCAAAUGCUAUUGGCUUGUCGCCUGAUCUCUGGAUGUUACCCUGCUUGUGACAACAUUCUUGCCACUGGUGGGUACUAAUGCCUAUUAGGUUAGAGCGAUCAAAAAUUUUGCUAAGGAUGCUGACGUAAUGGCUUUAAACGAC
rnacentral:rRNA from 1 species